UUUAAUUCGACGCUACGCGAAGAACCUUACCUGGGCUUGAACUGCUGGAGGUAGGAGCCCGAAAGGGUAACGACCCGGAGCAAUCCGGGAACCAGCAGAGGUGCUGCAUGGCUGUCGUCAGCUCGUGUCGUGAGAUGUUGGGUUAAGUCCCGCAACGAGCGCAACCCUUGCCCUUAGUUGCCAGCGGGUAAUGCCGGGCACUCUAAGGGGACUGCCCCGGAUAACGGGGAGGAAGGCGGGGAUGACGUCAAGUCAGCAUGGCCUUUAUGUCCAGGGCUACACACGUGCUACAAUGGGCGGUACAGAGGGAGGCAAAGCCGCGAGGUGGAGCUAAUCCCUAAAGCCGUCCUCAGUUCGGAUCGCAGGCUGCAACUCGCCUGCGUGAAGUCGGAAUCGCUAGUAAUCGCGGAUCAGCCACGCCGCGGUGAAUACGUUCUCGGGCCUUGUACACACCGCCCGUCACAUCACGAAAGCUGGUCUCGCCCGAAGUCGCUGAGCUAACCCGCAAGGGAGGCAGGCGCCUAAGGCGAGGUCGGUGAUUGGGGUGAAGUCGUAACAAGGUAC
rnacentral:rRNA from 1 species